GCCGCCGGCUGGAAACAGGGAGCACAGCAGGCGCCGGCCGCGACCGCCGAGGGAGAGCGAGAGGGAGGACGAGGGGUGGCCGAGAGGAGAAUGGAAGCUUCGGCGCCGGAAUACAUACUCCUUGAGGGCAGAGAGUUUUGACUGUUUUGUUUACCACUUCCCACACCUGGAAGAGUGCUGUUACAAGGGCGGUGUCACAGGGACGUUAGAAGCCGAGAAAGCCGCAGCAGAAGCUGAAGAGAAGCCGAGAUCACCAGAGAGCCCAGAUAGA